UAAGCAUAUCAAUAAGCGGAGGAAAAGAAACCAACAGGGAUUGCCUCAGUAACGGCGAGUGAAGCGGCAACAGCUCAAAUUUGAAAUCUGGCGCAAGCCCGAAUUGUAAUUUGUAGAAGAUGCUUCGGGUGCGGUACCGGUCUAAGUUCCUUGGAACAGGACGUCAUAGAGGGUGAGAAUCCCGUACGUGACUGGUUACCUAACCUAUGUGAAGCUCUUUCGACGAGUCGAGUUGUUUGGGAAUGCAGCUCAAAAUGGGUGGUAUAUUUCAUCUAAAGCUAAAUAUUGGCCAGAGACCGAUAGCGCACAAGUAGAGUGAUCGAAAGAUGAAAAGCACUUUGGAAAGAGAGUUAAACAGUACGUGAAAUUGUUGAAAGGGAAGCGCUUGCAACCAGACUUGCGCGUAGUCGAUCAUCCGGUGUUCUCACCGGUGCACUCGACUGCGUUCAGGCCAGCAUCGGUUUGGGUGGUUGGAUAAAGGCUGUGGGAAUGUGGCUCCCCCGGGAGUGUUAUAGCCCACGGUGCAAUGCAGCCUACCUGGACCGAGGACCGCGCUUCGGCUAGGAUGCUGGCGUAAUGGUUGUAAGCGACCCGUCUUGAAACACGGACCAAGGAGUCUAACAUCUAUGCGAGUGUUUGGGUGUCAAACCCAUACGCGUAAUUAACGUGAACGGAGGUGAGAACCCUUAAGGGUGCAUCAUCGACCGAUCCUGAUGUCUUCGGAUGGAUUUGAGUAAGAGCAUAGCUGUUGGGACCCGAAAGAUGGUGAACUAUGCCUGAAUAGGGUGAAGCCAGAGGAAACUCUGGUGGAGGCUCGCAGCGGUUCUGACGUGCAAAUCGAUCGUCAAAUUUGGGCAUAGGGGCGAAAGACUAAUCGAACCAUCUAGUAGCUGGUUCCUGCCGAAGUUCCC
rnacentral:rRNA from 1 species